rnacentral:SRP_RNA from 1 species
GCGGGGCCUGGUGGUGCGUGCUUGUAGUCCCAGCUAUUUGGGAGGCUGAGGUGGGAGGAUCGCUUGAGCCCAGGAGUUCUGGGCUGUAGUGCGUUAUGCUGAUCUGGUGUCCGCACUAAGUUCGGCAUCAGUAUGGUGACCUCCCGGGAGCGGGGGACCACCAGGCUACCUAAGGAUGGUUGAAGUGGCCCAGGUCAGAAACGGAGCAGGUCAAAACUCCUGUGCUGAUCAGUAGUGGGAUAGCGCCUGUGAAUAGCCACUGCACUCCAGCCUGGGCAACAUAGCAAGACCCCGUCUCC